rnacentral:sRNA from 1 species
GCUGGGUGUGGUGGCACAUGCCUGUAAUCCCAGCAACUCAGGAGGCUGAGGCAGGAGGAUCACAAGUUCAAAGACAACCUCAGCAAUUUAGCAAGGCCCUAAGCAACUUGGCAAGACCCUGUCUUUA